CACGCGCCCGCACGCUCCCUCCGCCACCUGCCCGGCCGCGGCGCGACGGCCUGAAGCGCGAGGUGUUGGCUCCCUCUGCAGGGGAUGGCAAACUCCUUCAGACAGGACCCUGAGAAGGCAACAUAUGGGACAGAUCAUCAUCUGGAGCAUUUACAGGAGAUCUGCCCCAGCUCUUCAGAGGCAGCGAGCUGCCAGAG